AGAUUCUGGCCGAGCCGGUUGAUAAAUGGAAGAAUGUUAUGGGUGUCAAUGCACUGGAUUUGAUGUACAAAGAUGCUGAAAGAUGGAGCUGUGCCUUCGAGAGCUUGGUCACUCUCUCUAUGUUAGAACAUCAUGAAAACUCCAAGAAUUCAGCCAAUGUAAAGAUGAUAGAACGCUCCAUCUACAGCACCAGAUACUGUUUCAUGCAGAACCUGAAAGAAAGGUAAAUCUCUUUUCUAUGUUAAAUGUUCUCUGGGGAUUUCCGUUUUAGCACAGCAGACUGCGUGGGUGGCUGGGUGGUGCUCUGGUGUGGCUUGCUCCUUCUUUCCUUACAAAUAUCUAUCGUCCAUAUAUCUUUCUUUCUUUUUUGUGUUUGUACUCUCUUCAGCUUUUGUAUUACUUAAUGUGUUCCAAGUACCGCAAAA